UGGGGAAUUUUGGACAAUGGGCGAAAGCCUGAUCCAGCAAUGCCGCGUGUGUGAAGAAGGCCUUCGGGUUGUAAAGCACUUUUGUCCGGAAAGAAAUCCUUGGCUCUAAUACAGUCGGGGGAUGACGGUACCGGAAGAAUAAGCACCGGCUAACUACGUGCCAGCAGCCGCGGUAAUACGUAGGGUGCAAGCGUUAAUCGGAAUUACUGGGCGUAAAGCGUGCGCAGGCGGUUUGCUAAGACCGAUGUGAAAUCCCCGGGCUCAACCUGGGAACUGCAUUGGUGACUGGCAGGCUAGAGUAUGGCAGAGGGGGGUAGAAUUCCACGUGUAGCAGUGAAAAUGCGUAGAGAUGUGGAGGAAUACCGAUGGCGAAGGCAGCCCCCUGGGCCAAUACUGACGCUCAUGCACGAAAGCGUGGGGAGCAAAACAGGAUUAGAUACCCUGGUAGUCCACGCCCUAAAACGAUGUCAACUAGUUGUUGGGGAUUCAUUUCCUUAGUAACGUAGCUAACGCGUGAAGUUGACCGCCUGGGGAGUACGGUCGCAAGAUUAAAAACUCAAAAUGAAUUGACGGGGUCAUAGCUGUUUCCU
rnacentral:rRNA from 1 species